GGGAGGGGAAAAGGACAGAGCCAGACAGACACAGAGACAGAGGGACAGUGGGAGGGAAGGGAAGGAAGAAUUGGGGCGAGAUGGCCUGGGAUGUCUAUAGGGCUGGUCUAACUCACUGAGCUGGGCUGGAAACCCCACAGCAGCCAGGGUUUCCUUAAUUGAUUGAGAGGGAAAAAACAAAGAAAGCAAACACAUUGAGGCCAGGCUGUGGCUGGGUGAUAGAGUCCUUGCCUCACCAAAGCAAGGGCCUGGGUUCCACCCCCAGCACAGAAAAAAGUGGGGGCCAGAAUUUACACCUAUUUGGAAAUAAGUUUAAAUUUGUAAGACCGUAGAUCCCUUUCUGCAUUCUCCUCUUUCCGUUCUCAUCAACCCAUUAGCAGUGAUCUCUGUGGCAUUUAGUCUUAUUUUCUUCUGUAUGUGGUAAUAUGUUGUAUUUAUUUUCUAAUUUCCACAGUUCGGGGCUGGAGAUUUAGCUCAGUGUGGUUCUGGUGCCUGCCUCACAAGCACAAGGUCCCGAGUUCGAUCCCCGAUACCAAAAAACAAAAACAAAAAACCCCACUAAUUUCCACAGUUGUUUUUCUGUACCCCCCUCAGUUUGAUUGUAAACUCUUCAAGGGCAGGAAAAAUCUCUUAAUUUUUCUUUCUUGGUCAUUUCCUCCCAGUGCCAGGUUUGGUAUUUGGGUGUUCUCUGCUCUCAGUAAGUACUGAGCAAAUCAUCAUUAAUUCAUCAUCCAAGCAGGAACUUUGGCCCUUACUUUCUCUUACCCUUGAUGACAAAUUAUUGGAGGAAGAAUGUGUCCCUUCCCUGCAAAGUUCCUUUCAUUUGAGACUUGCCAGAUAUACUUGGGACUGCUGCAGCCAUCUUGCAUCCGUGAGGCUUCCUUCAAAGCAAGAGCUGAGUGGCUGAGGAUAUAGCUCAAGCUAAAGCUUUAAGCUCAGCACACGGUCCUGAGUUCAAUCCCCAGUACAAAAUAAAAAGCAAGAGCUGAAGACCUAUGAAGACAGAGAGUAAAGAAAAAAGAACUCAAGUCCUUGGUGAUGCCAAUGAACUGCUGAAAUAGCCAGUCCUAAAACCCUGACCUCAGCCCUCUUGUUUUGAUUCAGAAAUGUAUUUUUACCUUUUAAUAGUUCCAAAUGCAGGCUAUGUCUUACGAGCAAUGACAUCUCAGUUUCUGUCAAAUACAAAAGCAUGUAAGAAUAAUUCCCUGGAAGAAUGCAUCAUGAAAAUCCCAGACAGUGGUUUGACUGCGAGUUACAGUUCUGUUAUAGUGUGGAUGUUGAAUGUCCUCCAAAGACCUGUAUGUUAAAAGUUUAGGAGCUAAGCAGUUGGCACCACCUCCCAUCCACCAUGAUGUGCUGCCUUACUAGAGGCCCAAAGCAAAGGCCCAAGUGCCUUUAAUCUCGGACUGGACUCUCCAGAACUGUGAGCCAAAAUAAAACUUUUAC
ensembl:lncRNA